rnacentral:rRNA from 1 species
GCCCACAACCUCAGCCAAAUAAACCUGCAAAACCCCAAAACCUCUAUAAACCAAAACAUUUUUUCGGCCAGUAAAUGAGAUUAAACCCCCACCAUUGGCCUUACAAGUACCGCAAGGGAAUAGUGAAAGAAUAGUGAAAAACUCUAAGCAUAAAAUAGCAAAGACCAACCCCUGUACCUCCUGCAUCAUGGUUUAGCAAAACCCCCUCAAGCAAAGCGAACCUUUAGCCUGCCCCCCCGAAACCAAACGAGCUAUUUUUGGGCAGCUGUUAAACUAGAGCACACCCGUCCCUGUAGCAAAAGGGUGGGAAGACCUAAAAAUAGAGGCAAAAAGCCAAUCGAGCUUGGUGAUAGCUGGCUGCUCAACAAGAGAAUUUUAGUUCAACUUUAGGAACACAUAAAUUAACACCUCCAAAUUCAUUAUCUUUUUUCCUAAAGAAAAUCAACGGGGGUACAGCCCCAUUGAACCGGAAUACAGCCCGAACUGAGAGAACAACCCGCCCCUAACUUAAGUAGGCUUCAAAGCAGCCACCAAAAAUCGCGUUAUAGCAUCUAACCAAAAUAAUUUCAACAGCCCAAAUUAAUCUCCUGAUAAACUCCGAGCCAUUCUAUACUAACAUAGAAACACCAAUGCUAAUAUUAGUAAUAAGAAACACUAAUUUCUCUUUGCAUUUCCUUAAAUCAGAAUAGAAAACCUACUGACAAUUAACAUUACAUAACCCCACAUUCAUUCUAGAAAAAGUUAUCCAAAAUUUGUUAACCCAACACAGGCAUGCACAAAAGAAAGGCAAAAAGCCAUAAAAGGAACUCGGCAACAACUUGUCCCAACUGUUUACCAAAAACAUAGCCUUUAGCUUUACAAGUAUUAAAGGUCCCGCCUGCCCAGUGACUCUUUAAACGGCCGCGGUAUCCUAACCGUGCAAAGGUAGCAUAAUCACUUGUCCCCUAAAUAGGGACUGGAAUGAAUGGCUAAAUGAGGACAAAACUGUCUCUUAUGGCCUAGCCAAUGAAAUUGAUCCUCCAGUACAAAAGCUGGAAUAAACACAUAAGACGAGAAGACCCUGUGGAGCUUCAAAACCAAAAUCACUAAACAUGCUUUCUUGGAUUUUUAGUUGGGGCGACUUUGGAGCAAAAAAAACCCUCCAAAAAUUUAAUUUAAUUAUCAAGACUAACAUAUCAAAAAUAAUUUUUAUAGACCCAGCAAUAUUUCUAUAUUGUCUGAUCAAUGAACCAAGUUACCCCAGGGAUAACAGCGCCAUCCUCUUCUAGAGUCCUUAUCGACAAGAGGGUUUACGACCUCGAUGUUGGAUCAGGACACCCCUAUAGUGCAGCCGCUAUAAAAGGUUCGUUUGUUCAACGAUUAAAGUCCUACGUGAUCUGAGUUCAGACCGGAGAAAUCCAGGUCGGUUUCUAUCUAUGCAGCACUAUUUUUAGUACGAAAGGACCAAAAUAGUGGGACCCAUACUAGAUAAACGUCCCAAUAAAAACUACUGAUUUUUACUAAAGUAGCCAACAUACCCACCCAAUUAAUCAAAAUAAGAUUU